GACGAACGCUGGCGGCGUGCUUAACACAUGCAAGUCGAACGGAAAGGCCCCUUUGGGGGUACUCGAGUGGCGAACGGGUGAGUAACACGUGAGUAACCUGCCCUUGACUUCGGGAUAACUUCAGGAAACUGGGGCUAAUACCGGAUAGGAAUCCUUGCUGCAUGGUGGGGGUUGGAAAGCUUCGGCGGUUUUGGAUGGACUCGCGGCUUAUCAGCUUGUUGGUGGGGUAGUGGCUUACCAAGGCUUUGACGGGUAGCCGGCCUGAGAGGGCGACCGGCCACAUUGGGACUGAGAUACGGCCCAGACUCCUACGGGAGGCAGCAGUGGGGAAUAUUGCACAAUGGGCGGAAGCCUGAUGCAGGAACGCCGCGUGCGGGAUGACGGCCUUCGGGUUGUAAACCGCUUUCAGCAGGGGCGAAGCUUGUGGUGACGGUACCUGCAGAAGAAGCACCGGCUAACUACGUG
rnacentral:rRNA from 1 species